AUUGAACGCUGGCGGCAUGCUUUACACAUGCAAGUCGAACGGCAGCGCGGGCUUCGGCCUGGCGGCGAGUGGCGAACGGGUGAGUAAUGCAUCGGAACGUGCCCAGUAGUGGGGGAUAGCCCGGCGAAAGCCGGAUUAAUACCGCAUACGACCUGAGGGUGAAAGCGGGGGACCGAAAGGCCUCGCGCUAUUGGAGCGGCCGAUGUCGGAUUAGCUAGUUGGUGGGGUAAAGGCUUACCAAGGCGACGAUCCGUAGCUGGUCUGAGAAGACGACCAGCCACACUGGGACUGAGACACGGCCCAGACUCCUACGGGAGGCAGCAGUGGGGAAUUUUGGACAAUGGGGGCAACCCUGAUCCAGCCAUGCCGCGUGCGGGAAGAAGGCCUUCGGGUUGUAAACCGCUUUUGUUCGGGAAGAAAUCCUCUGGGCUAAUACCCCGGGGGGAUGACGGUACCGGAAAAAUAAGCACCGGCUAACUACGUG
rnacentral:rRNA from 1 species